rnacentral:rRNA from 1 species
AUUGAACGCUGGCGGCAGGCCUAACACAUGCAAGUCGGACGAGCGGCGGACGGGUGAGUAAUGUCUGGGCAACUGCCUGAUGGCGGGGGAUAACUACUGGAAACGGUAGCUAAUACCGCAUACCAUCAGAUGUGCCCAGAUGGGAUUAGCUAGUGGGUGGGGUAACGGCUCACCCAGGCGACGAUCCCUAGCUGGUCUGAGAGGAUGAUCGGCCACACUGGGACUGAGACACGGCCCAGACUCCUACGGGAGGCAGCAGUGGGGAAUAUUGCACAAUGGGCGCAAGCCUGAUGCAGCCAUGCCGCGUGUAUGAAGAAGGCCUUCGGGUUGUAAAGUACUUUCAGCGGGGAGGCGUUACCGGCAGAAGAAGCACCGGCUAACUCCGUGCCAGCCGCCGCGGUAAUUC